AGAAACGCAAAAUAUCCAGAAAAUAUGUCCUCGGUAGAUUUGGAUAAAGUUAUCAAGGAUUUAGAAUUUGAAAACAGUCAGCUUGUGAAGAAGAUUGAAUCAGAGAAACAACAGCUUGCAGCAAUUACCACUGAGAUACAGGAGGCUCAGCAAGGCACAGUAAGACUGCAUGAAGCCACUUUUCAGUUAGAUGAAGACAUCAGGACAGCCCAUCAACAAUUCACACAAAACAGGGCUAGUUG